GUGCUCACUUCAGCAGCACAUACACUAAAAUUGGAACGAUACAGAGAUUAGCAUGGCCCUGCGCAAGGAUGACACACAAAUUCAUAAAGCGUUCCGUAUUUUU
rnacentral:snRNA from 1 species